rnacentral:rRNA from 1 species
GAUGAACGCUGGCGGCGUGCCUAAUACAUGCAAGUCGAGCGAACGGACGAGAAGCUUGCUUCUCUGAUGUUAGCGGCGGACGGGUGAGUAACACGUGGAUAACCUACCUAUAAGACUGGGAUAACUUCGGGAAACCGGAGCUAAUACCGGAUAAUAUUUUGAACCGCAUGGUUCAAAAGUGAAAGACGGUCUUGCUGUCACUUAUAGAUGGAUCCGCGCUGCAUUAGCUAGUUGGUAAGGUAACGGCUUACCAAGGCAACGAUGCAUAGCCGACCUGAGAGGGUGAUCGGACACACUGGAACUGAGACACGGUACAGACUCCUACGGGAGGCAGCAGUAGGGAAUCUUCCGCAAUGGGCGAAAGCCUGACGGAGCAACGCCGCGUGAGUGAUGAAGGUCUUCGGAUCGUAAAACUCUGUUAUUAGGGAAGAACAUAUGUGUAAGUAACUGUGCACAUCUUGACGGUACCUAAUCAGAAAGCCACGGCUAACUACGUG